rnacentral:rRNA from 1 species
CACCUGUUCCCAUGCCGAACACAGUAGUUAAGCUUCUUAACGCCGAAAGUAGUUGGUGGGAAACUGCCUGCGAGGAUAGGAAGCUGCCGCGC